CUUGUGUUCAGCGCCGUGUUGACCUGCGACGGAUUACUAUUAUUAUUUUUUAUAUAUAUAAUUUUAUUAUUAUUAUUAAGCUUCACGGCGUUAUUUUAUUAUUAUUAUUUUUUUUUUUACCUCGUAACGGAUUCUUUUUUUUUUUUUACCCUUUGCAGCCGGGUGGAAUGUGUAUUUGCCGUACACACCUAUGUGGAUGGAUAUAAAUAGGAUAAGCGGUGCGAGUGAGCGAGCGCGACCGGGCUUUAGUCUCCUGUAUUAGCUUACAUGAUUGUGAUUAUCACUAGCAUUACUAGCCCGUGAACGCGUGUUGCCUAGGCUACGAGCCGCGGGGAAAUUUUCGAAGACCGGCGUAUGUGCACCGGAAGGAACCCCAUCUGCUGAGCCACGCGCUGCUCUUGUUUUUUUCCGCCUUAUUAUUUAAGUAAGAGCUUCAUCCCGGUGGAUCCGGAGCGGGAAUACGUCCCGGAUGGGGCUCUGGUCCAUGGUCACACACCAUCGUUGACACCUUGGAGCUAUUUAGCAUCGCACGUCUUUUUUGAAGCCUGUCUGAGUUUUAUCAGCAGUUCAUAUCGCACAGGUCUGGAAGAGGA
ensembl:lncRNA